UAUCUCUGUAGAGUCUGCAUAUCAAUAAGCGGAGGAAAAGAAACUAACUAGGAUUCCCUCAGUAACGGCGAGUGAAGCGGGAAGAGCUCAAAUUUGAAAUCUUCAAGGUUCUACCUUGACGAACUGUAGUUUAAAGAAGUGUUUUCUGUUGGAGUUUUGGUAAAAGUUCUUUGGAAUAGGACAUCAUAGAGGGUGAGAAUCCCGUAUUUGACCAUUAUUUCCAGCUUUGUGAUACACUUUCAAAGAGUCGGAUUGUUUGGGAAUGCAGUCCAAAAUGGGUGGUAAAUUUCAUCUAAAGCUAAAUAUUGGCGAGAGACCGAUAGCGAACAAGUACCGUGAGGGAAAGAUGAAAAGAACUUUGAAAAGAGAGUUAAACAGUACGUGAAAUUGUCAAAAGGGAAGCGUUUGACACCAGUGUUGUUUUCUCGAAAAUCAAUUAAAAAAGGCAGGAUUUUGUGUUGUAUUGACUUUAUCAGCUUUCUGCACUCUUUUCUUGUCUUUUUUUAAUGCACUUUUCGUUUAACAAGUCAACAUCAAUUUCUUUUGUUGUAAAAGGGUCAUUGGAAGGUGGCUUUCUUUUCGGAGAAAGUGUUUAUAGCCUUUGGCCUCUGCAAUCGGAGAGAUUGAGGUCUGCAGCGUAGAUCCUUCGGGGUUAGAUACAUUUGUGCUAAGUUAUAGCCUUUCAUAGACAACUUGUUGACUAUGAUCAGUCAUGUAGCUUACUCGCUUAUGCUAUUUUACCUACGCUUAGGAUGUUGAAGAUGUAGCACAUCAU
rnacentral:rRNA from 1 species